CCUACGGGGGGCAGCAGUGAGGAAUAUUGGUCAAUGGACGAGAGUCUGAACCAGCCACGUAGCGUGAAGGAUGACUGCCCUAUGGGUUGUAAACUUCUUUUAUAAAGGAAUAAAACGAGGCACGUGUGCCUUUUUGCAUGUACUUUAUGAAUAAGGAUCGGCUAACUCCGUGCCAGCAGCCGCGGUAAUACGGAGGAUCCGAGCGUUAUCCGGAUUUAUUGGGUUUAAAGGGAGCGUAGAUGGGUUGUUAAGUCAGUUGUGAAAGUUUGCGGGUCAACCGUAAAAUUGCAAUUGAUACUGGCAGUCGUGAGUACAGUUGAGGUAGGCGGAAUUCGUGGUGUAGCGGUGAAAUGCUUAGAUAUCACGAAGAACCCCGAUUGCGAAGGCAGCUUACUAAACUGUGACUGACAUUGAUGCUCGAAAGUGUGGGUAUCAAACAGGAUUAGAUACCCGAGUAGUC
rnacentral:rRNA from 1 species